CCUGAACAGGAGGUUCCUGGGCCUGUGUCCUCCUCCAGAUAUCCCACACCCUCCAGUUUCCCCAACUGUCCAGGGGCUCAGUGUCUCCUCCGCCCCCAGCGAAGCCAAACCUCUCCGCCCAUGUUCAGUGACCAAUGGGCUGCGGCGUCCCCGCGCGGGGCGGAGCCCGGUCACCCGGAGGAGGCUGUGCCCGGACCCGGCGGCCAUGGCAGCUCCCGAGCCUCUGUCCCCUGCGGUCGCGGCCGAGGAGGCACCGGAGGAGGAUGAGGACGACGCGGAGGCCGAGGACCCCGAGCGCGGGGCAGGCAGCGGAGGGCGCAGCUGCAGCCUCGGUGGCAUUGGAGGCAGCACGGCCGGGCCUGGGCUGGCUCUCGGGGGCGCGCUCACGAGGCGUGCAGUCACGCUGCGGGUGCUGCUCAAAGACGAGCUGCUGGAGCCCGGCGAGGGGGUGCUUUCUAUCUACUACCUGGGCAGGAAGUUCAUUGGGGACCUGCAACCAGAUGGCAGGAUCCUGUGGCAGGAAACCGGACAAAUCUUCAACUCUCCCAGCGCCUGGGCAACACACUGCAAGAAGCUCGUCAACCCAGCCAAGAAGUCCGGUUGUGGCUGGGCAUCGGUGAAGUACAAGGGCCAGAAACUGGACAAGUACAAGGCUGCCUGGCUCCGCCGGCACCAGCUGCAUAUGCCGGUAGCUGCUGCUGAUGAGAGUCCCACCAGCGAAGGGGAGGAGGAGGAGCUUCUGUUGGAGGAGGAGGAAGAAGAUGUGCUGGCCGGGGUCUCAGCAGAGGACAAAGGCCGCAGACCCCCUGGGAAGGGCUCCUCUGAGCCAGAGGCCACGCCCCCUGGCAAGCGUGUAGACAAAGUCCAGGUACCAGUACGCUACUGUAUGCUGGGUAGUCGUGACUCUGCCAGGAACCCCCACACCCUGGUAGAAGUAACGUCCUUUGCUGCCAUCAACAAGUUCCAGCCGUUCAACGUAGCUGUUUCCAGUAACGUGCUGUUCCUCUUGGACUUCCACUGCCACCUGACUCGGAGUGAGGUCGUGGGCUACCUUGGCGGUCGCUGGGACAUCAACAAUCAGAUGCUGACCGUGCUGAGAGCCUUCCCCUGCAGGAGCCGGCUGGGGGAUGCUGACACAGCGGCCACCGUUGAGGAGGAGAUCCACCAGGUGCUGUUCCUCCGAGGCCUGUCCCUAGUGGGCUGGUACCACAGCCACCCACACAGCCCGGCAGCGCCCUCCCUGCAGGACAUUGACGCACAGAUGGAGUACCAGCUGAGACUGCAAGGCUCCAGCAAUGGCUUCCAGCCCUGCCUGGCCCUGCUGUGCUCCCCGUACUAUUCUGGCAACCCAGGCCCUGAGUCCAAGAUCUGCCCUUUCUGGGUGAUGCCUCCCCCUGAGCAGCAAAGGCCCAGUGACUACGGCAUCCCCAUGGACGUUGAAAUGGCCUAUGUCCAGGACAGCUUCCUGACCAAUGAUGUCCUUCAAGAAUGGUGCUGCUGGCAGAGUUCUACAAGGGCGCCCCCGACCUCGUGAGGUUCCAGGAGCCUUGGAGCCCGGAGCACACCUACCUGGACAAGCUCAAGAUAUCACUGGCCAGCAGGACCCCAAAGGACCAGGGCAUGUGCCACGUGCUGGAGCAGGUCUGCAGCGUGCUCAAGCAGGGGAGCUGAGGCUGUGCAGGCCCUGCUGUCCUGGGACAGGCUGGGUAAUAAAGUCUGAGUACCCACA